AAUGAACGCUGGCGGCGUGCUUAACACAUGCAAGUCGUACGAGAAACCCCGGCUUGCCGGGGGAGUAAAGUGGCGCACGGGUGAGUAACGCGUGGGUAAUCUACCCUCGAAUUGGGGAUAACACACCGAAAGGUGUGCUAAUACCGAAUAAGACCACGACCUCCACGGGGGUUGCGGUCAAAGAUGGCCUCUGCUUGCAAGCUGUCGUUUGAGGAUGAGCCCGCGUACCAUUAGCUUGUUGGUCGGGUAAUGGCCUACCAAGGUUAUGAUGGUUAGCUGGUCUGAGAGGAUGAUCAGCCACACUGGAACUGAAACACGGUCCAGACUCCUACGGGAGGCAG
rnacentral:rRNA from 1 species